rnacentral:ribozyme from 1 species
ACACCGAUCACCAUCAACAGCGCCAAUACCACCAAUACCGUCUAGAUCAAAUCACUAUGAUACAUUCGAAACAUCUUCGUUGUCAAUAACAAGUAUAAGAUCAAGAGCUAUCAAAAGGCAUAGACGAAAGAAAAAUGAAAGCAAUCAUGUUUUCGCUUUUACAUCCGAAAAGCGAAAAAGGCUAGUGGUGGUUAAGUUUUUCAUAUUCGCUGCUGUGCUGUUGGUGGGAGUGCAUGUG